UACGAAGGGGGCUAGCGUUGUUCGGAAUUACUGGGCGUAAAGGGCGCGUAGGCGGUCUGAUAAGUCCGUUGUGAAAGUCAAAGGCUCAACCUUUGAAAGCCGAUGGAUACUGUGAGGCUAGAGUCCGGAAGAGGCGAGUGGAAUUCCUGGUGUAGCGGUGGAAUGCGCAGAUAUCAGGAGGAACACCAAUAGCGAAGGCAGCUCGCUGGGACGGUACUGACGCUAAGGCGCGAAAGCGUGGGGAGCAAACAGG
rnacentral:rRNA from 1 species